rnacentral:rRNA from 1 species
GAGAGUUGGGUUAGUCCGCACGAGCGCACCUUACUUUUAGUUGCUACCAUUUAGUUGGGCACUCUAAAAGAACUGCCGGUGAUAAGCUGGAGGAAGGUGGGGAUGACGUCAAGUCCUCAUGGCCCUUAUGUGUUGGGCUACACACGUGCUACAAUGGUACUCACAGUGAGAAGCGAAGAGGCGACUCUAAGCUAAUCCCUAAAAAGUACCUCAGUUCGGAUUGUACUCUGCAACUCGAGUACAUGAAGCUGGAAUUACUAGUAAUCGCGGAUCAGCGCGCCGCGGUGAAUACGUUCCCGGGUCUUGUACACACCGCCCGUCACACCAUGGAAGUUGGUUACACCUGAAGGCAAAGAAUAAAAUCUUUGACCACGGUACGAUCAGCGACUGGGGUGAAGUCGUAACAAGGUAGCCGUAGGGGAACCUGCGGCUGGAUCACCUCCUUUCU